rnacentral:rRNA from 1 species
UACGACUACAUAUCAGGCAUAUCAAUAAGCGGAGGAAAAGAAACUAACAAGGAUUCCCUUAGUAACGGCGAGUGAAGCGGGAAGAGCUCAAAUUUGAAAUCUUCAAGGUUUUACCUUGACGAAUUGUAGUUUAAAGAAGUGUUCUCUGUUGAAGUUUUGGUAAAAGUUCUUUGGAAUAGGACAUCAUAGAGGGUGAGAAUCCCGUAUUUGACCAUUAUUUUCAGCUGUGUGAUACACUUUCAAAGAGUCGGAUUGUUUGGGAAUGCAGUCCAAAAUGGGUGGUAAAUUUCAUCUAAAGCUAAAUAUUGGCGAGAGACCGAUAGCGAACAAGUACCGUGAGGGAAAGAUGAAAAGAACUUUGAAAAGAGAGUUAAACAGUACGUGAAAUUGUCAAAAGGGAAGCGUUUGACACCAGUGUUGUUUUCUCGAAAAUCAAUUAAAAAAAGUUGGAUUUUGUGUUGUAUUGACCUUAACAGCUUGCUUCACUCUUUUCCAGCUUUUUUUAAUGCACUUUUCGUUUAACAAGUCAACAUCAGUUUCUUUUGUUGUAAAAGGGUCAUUGGAAGGUGGCUUUCUCUUCGGAGAAAGUGUUUAUAGCCUUUGAUCUCUGCAAUCGGAGAGACUGAGGUCUGCAGCGUAGAUCCUUCGGGGUUAGAUACAUUUGUGCUAAGCUACAGCUUUUCAUAGACAACUUGUUGACUAUGUUUAGUCUUGUGACUUACCCGCUUAUGCUAUUUUACCUACGCUUAGGAUGUUGAGCGCAUGUCUCUCUCU